rnacentral:misc_RNA from 1 species
UUAAGUUCUGCCCGUAGUCCUACUUGAUCCGAGGUCAAUUGCUAAGAAAAAAUGAUGUUUUGCCCGGCAGGAGCCGCCCGGGGAUCCAAUCAGCGAGAAUAAAGGUCACUGCGCUGGGACCCCGGCCGAUCCGCCGCUAAUUUUCGGGGGAGCCCCCCUCCUGGGAGAAGGGGGCUUGCCGCCCAAUACCAAGCAGAGCU